AAGAAGGACCCAGCUGAAUGGGGUUAGAAUAAGUUUCGUUUGGAAGCUUUUAUAUAUGCUGUGACCAAUUACGAAUGUGUGUUUGUGCAGGAGGAAACAACAGGGCAUCAUUCAAGCUCGGUACCGAAAGGUAUGACCCCGCAGAAGACGCGUGGACCGAGAUCCCUUACAUGACCGUCAAUUCAAAUUACUUAAUCGCAGAAGUCAUCGACGACAUGAUGUUGCUCAUCGGUGGACGUUGCAAGGGAGAAACCAACUUCAGUGCCAAAUGUUACAAUGACAACGAAAAUCAAUGGUACUUGGCGGCAGGAAUGAAUGUUCAUAGAAUCGAGUUUUCGACUUGUGUCAUCAAGAACCUACCGAAUUCAAGCGAUUACGCCUACAAACAAAGAGAAAAAUUAAUUAAGGAGAUACGUGAAAAAAUGUUGGAAUGGGAGAGUAAGUAACCUUCCACACACACUGAUCCUUGAACUGUUAUAUCUACGGUUUCAAUCCUAGUAGCUUGGCCGGUGCAGUUUCUGAUACUACAUUUCCUAUUCUGGUGAGCGGAAAGGGUAAAAGGUUUUCUCAGGAUACCUUGUUAGUCGGUGGGCAAGGAUCUCCGACUCUCAGGGAAUCUACGGGGAGGCCUUAAUUGGAGCUGAUAAUUAUUGUAACAAAUACAUUUUCUAAAUUUUAUUUAUUUAAAUUUUACAAUUAUGUUCACUAUACGUUUGGCAUUUCGUUUUGUAAGAAACUCUAUUGGCGACUUUAAGAAAUUUUGAAUGAAUUGUGACGUUCGUUAUAGCGAAUGUUCGUAAACCGAGAGUUGCCUGUAUUUUGCAGUUGAUUACAUCCAUGACGAACACAUUAAUUUUAAAUAAGUACCUUACGAAAAUAAUGUAGAAAUCUGGGAAUUGCAAAAAUAAAAAAUAAAAAAGAGAAAUAUUGUUUGCAGCAAAGAAGGAGAAAUUAUUUCUCCUCGUUAUUAUCUGCACAAGAAGUCUUAUUGAAAUUAAUUAUUUUACAGACGUUUAAUUUUAUCUAAAAUAUUACCAUCCAUCAACACACAGCAGUUUCUCUUUGCGUCUUGUAUUAAAUAAAUCCACUUGUGCCGACAUGUUUCGAGUUACGACAUCGUCUUCAUGUUACUAGGGGAAGGUUAAAUAUUCUUGUUUCAUGAACAUCGUUUACAAAAACGUCAUUAUGAAGGCAACAGACUCAGAAUUUUGUAUUGAUUUCUGACCUACGUGUGAUACUUAAAAAAAUUGCAAAUUAUAUUUGACUAGGUUGCCCCAGUAUAACGGGUAAUUGUGCUAUGUCCCUGAGGAAGUACCAACCUUUUCAAAUGAUGUGCUUUCAGUUAACAGAUGUAUUUACAGUGGCGGCCCGCCCAUAAGAGCUGAAUCUCUUUGAUUUUAUUAUAAUAAAAUCAAAGUAACAGGUAUUGUUUUGCUACAAGCUCGCUUGUGCGUUGACAAUGAAAGAAGUUAUUUCGAACAUUAAGAUGCUUAAGUACGUACGUUUUAUUGAGUAUGAACGUUAAACAUGAAUGUAACACCAUUUCUAUAUAACAAAGUAUUUUCUUCAAUAAAAAUAAUUUAAUCAUUCGGCGCGUGUCUCUGAGUUUCCUUAAAUUCCAUUCAUCACAGCACGUAGCAGUUGGGAUUUUGGCCAAUACAUGCUAUCACAUAGCGUCCAAAUUGGAAUUCAUCUUACAUUUCCAGUCUUAUAAUAAAUUGUAAACGCAUCACAGAUAUAAAUAAAUGUAUCUACAGAUGCCCGUACGAUAUGUGA